CAGCUACAUGAAAGCUUGCAAAGAAUACGUGAAAGAAAGGUCGUUAAUUUUAUUGAUUGGGGAUCAGGCUAGCAUUCAGGUUGCAUUUUCUAGAAAAUCACCAUACAUCUAAACUACUCAUCGGGGCAAACAACUUAGGCUCCUAUGAAGUUUCGUUUGCUCUCCAUUUCCACGUGGUCAAAUUGGUCAUCGUCGGCCUCUCAGGAUGCCACUUCUCUCAGGGUGAACAAGUUGUAGAUGAUAUCAUGGAUAUGGUUGACAGAGAAGCUGAUGGAAGUGAUAGUCUUGAAGGAUUUGUAUUAUGGCACUCGAUUUCUGGAGGAACAGGUUCAGGUACAUGAAAGCUUGCAAAGAAUACGUGAAAGAAAGCUUGUUAAUUUUAUUGAGUAGGGACCAGGCUAGCAUUCAGGUUGCAUUUUCUAGAAAAUCACCGUACAUCUAAACUACUCAUCGGGGUGAACAAGUUGUAGAUGAUAUCAUGGAUAUGGUUGACAGAGAAGCUGAUGGAAGUGAUUGUCUUGAAGGAUUUGUAUUAUGGCACUCGAUUUCUGGAGGAACAGGUUCAGGUACAUGAAAGCUUGCAAAGAAUACGUGAAAGAAAGCUUGUUAAUUUUAUUGAGUGGGGACCAGGCUAGCAUUCAGGUUGCAUUUUCUAGAAAAUCACCAUACAUCUAAACUACUCAACGGGUACAACUACUUGCUUGUUACAUAGUGUGUAGAUAAAUGAGUUAAGCAGGGUCUGCAUUGCAUUUCUCGAAAGUUAAUGCCUUUUGUUCAAAAUUGAUAACUUCUAACACCGAACAGAAAUCAAAAUCUCUUGAUCUGAAAAGGAUUUCCAAAGAUAUAUGAAGAAACUGCAUGAAAUGUACUUACUGUCCAACCCAAGUAACAAACCAAUGAUUGUCAUGAUAUAGAUGAAUACAUGUGCAAAUUCAGUUGAUAUGAUAUUUUACUAUGAUGUAUGAAAAGCCAAGUUAACUCUAUGAAGGAGCUCCCUAACUUUCUACACGUUCAUCCCGGUAAGUGGUCUAAUGCUUGCGAACCACACUAGCAUUCGACACCUUUUCAGCAAAUGCCUGGGUCACAAUUACUCAAAUCAUACCUCAAUUGUUCUCCAUGGUACGCUUAACUCCAAUUUAAGAUAAUUCUAAUUCAAAUCAAUUGUUGGAACGAUAUUUUUUAAUGCCACUAUGCCAGCAAGCCUUCUGUCAAAGAAGGGAAACACCAAUUUCAGAAUUAAUAUUGUUUUUUUAUAAAUAAUUUGUAUUAUCUCAUUUUGUAUUCUUCCUCUUGUAUAUCAAUCUUUUUCAACAAUGUAAGUUAAAAAAAUAAAUAAAUUAUCAAUGAAUCAUCAGAAAAGUGUAAGAAAAUUGUCAGGCAUAACUUCACCAUGUGUCGCAAUGUGUUGGAAGGAACCAUGUCUCCUCGGGAUGGUCUUGUGGCUAGCACAUGAGGUGUUACCACUAUGAGGUUUGGGGUUUGAAUUUUAGUAAAAUCGAGGUAAAUGUCUUAUUUAUGUGCUAGUCACUAUUCCAAAGGCUAGUAGCCGUCUGUGAUUUGCCUCCUCAUUGUUGGUCCUGCAACUGAUUGAUAGGGGUAUUGGGGUUGAUCGUAUUCGGCUUUUGUCACCGUGUUGGUAGGAACUAGCAAUAUCUGGCGGUGGGUUGAAAUACAUGUGGUUGAGUCAUAAGUUUGGGAAAAACUGGACAACAUCUUAAUUCGGAGUUUCCAAGUGGAAGAAGGAAAGGAGAAAUAAAAAGAAAAGUUUCAUACGGGGUGGGGUGAGUUGAGAACAUCAGUAAACUCAGAGAAGAGGGAAAACUUAAGAGAAAUAUUUAACAUGUUUUUUAAAGACAUGUCAUAUCCUUUAGAUAAUUAAAAAGUAUCAAAUGUCUAUAUAUAUAUAUUUUUUAAAAAAGGGUAAAAAUCAAGGGCGUAAAUCAAAAGGUAUCCUUUUAUUUCUUAAUCAUCAUAUAGGCAUUUCAUUUUUAUUUAUUUUUAAUCAAAGGAUAUUCCACUCUACCAACUCUGUCCAUAAAUUGUUUAUACCUUUCGGUACACUGCUCACUUUUGACAUAUUAAAUCCUGACAUAAUGAUUUCGUAGCUGUUACAAUUAUAAUAGUUGUGACAGUUACGAUUUCAUAGUUAUUAUAACAGUAAGUUGAAUCGUGUUAUAGUAGCUAUGAAACUAUAGUUGCUACAAUUUGUAUAUUUUUUAACGUUAAGUAUGUUAGACGCAUUGUAAUAGUUUUGAAAUUAUAGUUGCUAUAACAUGUAUAGCAACUACGAUUUUGUAGUUGUUAUAUAACGCGCCCAAUCGGUUUAAAAAUCAGGCGGGAAAUAACAACACUGAACAAGACACUAUUAGAGGACAUUUGAGUAAAUGUACAUGAUAGAAUAGUGAGGUGGUGUGCUUGUUUGAUAAAAAAAAUUAAAGUGAGAAACCCCUUUGAUGAUUCAAAGAAGUGCUUCACGUUGAUUUUUUUUAUUGAAAGGACAUUCUACCCCAUAUAAAAUGACACAACUGUCUUCUACUACAUUGUUUCCAUUAUUAUCUCUAGUAUAAAUCUUGAAAUUGGGGGUGUGUUGUAGUCGCUAUGGUUUCGUAGCUGCCAUACAGAUGUAAUAACUAUGGUUUUGUAGGUAUUAUAUAGUUGUAGCAAUUAUAAUUUCAUAACUACUACAACAUGAAUGGUAGGUGAACAUAGUUGAAUUUGUAUUAUCGAUUAAGAUUGACUAUGCAAAUCAAAAUGGAAUUUUCCUAUAUAUUUUGCAUCCAAAUAAGUGCCUCAUCAGCAAAAUUCAAAAAAAUAAAAGUAAAAUAACUACAAUGAAUAGAAUUAAAUAUAUAGAGAAGUAUAAUGACAAAGAGAAAAAAAACAAUUAAAAAGUCAAAGCACCUAUCAUAAAACUAUAGCUAUUACUAACCGUAACUACUACAACAUAUCUAAUUAAUUUAGAAAUUAAAUGAGAAAAUAGUAUUAAAUAGUAUUAAAGAAUAAUUGUGUAAUGAUACAUACAAGAGUGAGAUAUGACGCUCUUAUGAUAAACCAUCAAAAUUGAAAUGUCCCAUGAUUUGGCAAAAACAAAGGGUCUUGAUUUUUACCCAAAAUAAAUAAGAUACUUUUUUUUUAAAAAAAAAUGCCAUUUUUUCAACUGAAUUAGUUGAUUAGUUUUAGUCAAUGGGUGAGAUUAAUUUUGCUUAGAUCCAACCGCCCGUCAUUUUACGGUGUACGACAAACAUCUUAGGCUCCUAUGAAGUUUCAUUCGUUCUCCAUUUCCACGCGGGCAAAUUGGUCUUCGUCGGCCUCUUAGGACGCCACUUUUCUCAGGGUUCCGGUUCUCGACGGAUUUGGUUGCGGAGAGGGGAUUGGAGUGGAGGAUGUCGAUGCAUGAGAGGAAGACGAUCGAUUUGGACAGAAUCAGGAUCAUCUAUGACAUAUGAACCAUAAAAUGGCCAUGAAAUUGUUGCUCCUUUGUUCAGCAUGUUCAGAUCCAUUCUUGUAGUAGGAUUUUUUUCCCCUUUUUAUUCUACAGUCCUUUUAUAGGAUAAAUACUAAUUGUCAUAGCAUUUUUAGAGUUGUUAUCCUAAACUAUAAAUCCUAAACUUUGACUAAAUUGAAAUAUGAAUUUUUUGAAGGGGAGUCUUGGCGCAACGGUAAAGUUGUUUAUUUGUGACAUAAAGGUAUCAGACUCGAAUCUUGAAAACAGCCUUUUGCAAAAAGCAGGAUAAGACCGUCUACAGUGGAUCUGUCCCCGGGAUUCCGCAUGGCG